UAUAUUUUCUUAUGAAUUAAAAACGUCUAAAUAUAAUUGAUAUUAAAUAUUAUUUACUGAAUUUUAUUUUUUCAUGAAACUAAAUAACUUAAAGCCAAAAAUGUAAAACUCUUUAUGACAUAAUAUUGAUACAGUGGCAAGCUAUCUACCUAUACAUUUAAUUUUAAUAAUACCGAUUAGGGUAGAUGAAUUAAUGCAUAGAUAUUUGUGCGGGUAAGUAGGUUACCUGUUACUUUAACAAUAAAUUAUACUACUAUAUUUUUAGGGUAGCCACAACUGAUGCAUACUUUUAAAUGUAUCUACAUUAUUUAUAUAAAUAUAUUUAAAUGUUUAUAGCCUAGAUUUGAUAUGAUAUAUUAUUUACAAAUACAUAAAAAUCCAACCUUCGUCAUUGGCAAUAUUCACUGGAUGUUCUGGAAUCUGAGGAAUUUCGUAGGAUAUAUUAUUGCGUCUACGUUCUAAGAAAAUUAAGGAAAUGUUUCUACCUGAAUCAUAAGCUAAAUGUCCAGUAUAGGCUAAGAAUUCUUCAAUACUGAGUCUACCUUGCUGUAGUUUUUCAGUGGCUAACGAUAAAUUCCGGUCAAGCUGCACAUAUGCUCUACGCCUCGGUCUCAGUAUGGGUCUUUCUUGUUGGACAUGGAAUUUUUCACUGAAAUGUUUGUCCAGUUUUAGGAUUGUUUCUGGAAAUAGAGUUUAAUUAUUAUAUGCCAAAUUCCUGGUCGAUUUCCACCCAUAUAGGAAUUUAAAAGUUUAUGGAAGACUUCCUGAUCAUUAUUGGUUCUUCUGGGGCUAUUGAAAACAGUGAAGUUAGCAGCACCAACACCUAUAAAAGUAUUUUUAAACAUGAAAUAUACACUUCAGUAGGUACUUAUAUGAGUUAUAUUAUAUUGUAAUGUAUUAUUAUUUAUUAUAUUGAUUAUGUUCAUAACU